AUUAUUUUUUUAGAUUCUUUUUUAUUUGUGAAAAA
rnacentral:rRNA from 1 species